rnacentral:rRNA from 1 species
UACGGGAGGGUGCGAGCGUUGUCCGGAAUCACUGGGCGUAAAGGGCGCGUAGGCGGCCUGAUAAGUAGGGGGUGAAAUCCUGCGGCUAACCGCAGGGCUGCCUUCUAAACUGUCAGGCUGGAGCACAGGUAGAGGCAGGUGGAAUUCCGGUGUACGCGGUGGAAUGCGUAGAGAUCGGGAAGAACAUCAGUGGCGAAGGCGGCCUGCUGGGCUGUUGCUGACGCUGAGGCGCGACAGCGUGGGGAGCAAACGAGG